AAAAGUUGUUAUAUAAAAGGAAUUUAAAACAAAGAAAACAAAUUGAAAAAAAAAUAAUGAAAUAGGAUAUCCUCUGUUAAUCCACUGUUCACAUCCUUUUCCAUCAGCCUCUUCAUCCCUUCUCAGUAAGUCUCAUUUCUCUCUCCUCUUUCAAUUCAACCAUUUCAAAUCAAACAAAAUUUUCUUCAUCAAUUUCUUUGAUUCUUUGAUUCUAUUUGAUACAAGAAAGCAAACUUCCAUGGUCUUUCUCUGCAAGAGGCAAAAACAAUUUAACAAGAUCUAUAAGAGGGUUUGAGAUUAGUGCAAAUGCUAUUGAAGCUGCUAAAACUAUUGAGGUUGAAGUUGCUAAAACAAUUUAACAAACUUCCAUGGGAUAUACCUUGAAUCGGCCCAAAGAGUUUUUUUUACAUCUUUACAACGUGGGAAAUAUCGGUUCGUUUUUUUCUUCAGAAACCUUUACAAUGCAGUUGAUUGCUAAGAAAUCAUAAUCUCAAUGAGUCUCGCUUAAAGUAGAAUUUGAGGAGGGUAAGAAAGAAAGUUCUAAAUUAAUACCCUCAUCAAGAGGAGAUCGCGAACUAAAAGGAGCAUUACAGAACAAAGUUGAAACUUUAAAAUUAGAGACUUACUUAUUCUUGAUGAGAGAUAUACUGUAAGCAGGAUUCUUUUAAUUGUUCUAUUUCAUUAUAUUUCAUAUAAUGUGUUAUACGCUUAUUCCAUCAAUGGAGCUGAUUGAUUGCAAAUUAUAUACUCUUGUAUUAGAAGUCACUUAUGUGCUAUAUCUGAGGGUUAGUCUUGGCAAUUAACUUGUCCCCCUUGCUUCCUGUUCUAUGGUAUGCUGUAAUGUGCGCAAGCAAUGAUCUACUUUGUUUUUUCUGGUUUAGGAACCUUCCGAAGUACACAGUGACUGAUGGACAUUGAUAGUGAUCAGCUUGGGAUCCCAGAUGCUGAAUAUGAUGCAAUCAUUCGAAUGCCAAUUAGUUCUGGAAUUCGAUAAUAUAUGUUCAAGUCUUUCCUCAAUUGGUAAUACUGGUGAGAUGAUUAAUUGAUUGCUUAAUACUGCAUUCAACUAAUGAUCAUUUUGAGGGUUCUUUACAAAGCAUUAUGAUCAUAUUUGUGUUUUUGUUGGAUUGUAAUAUUGAAAAUGGAAAAUGCAAUAACAAUGAAAGAUUUUGUAUUCUCCGAAUGAUUCUCUGACUUGAAUUAUGUUAUUGUUGCGGUUACUA